CCUACGGGUGGCAGCAGUGGGGAAUAUUGGGCAAUGGGCGCAAGCCUGACCCAGCAACGCCGCGUGAAGGAAGAAGGCUUUCGGGUUGUAAACUUCUUUUCUCAGGGACGAAGCAAGUGACGGUACCUGAGUAAUAAGCCACGGCUAACUACGUGCCAGCAGCCGCGGUAAUACGUAGGUGGCAAGCGUUAUCCGGAUUUACUGGGUGUAAAGGGCGUGUAGGCGGGGAAGCAAGUCAGAUGUGAAAACCAUGGGCUCAACCUGUGGACUGCAUUUGAAACUGUUUUUCUGGAGUGCUGGAGAGGUAGAUGGAAUUCCUAGUGUAGCGGUGAAAUGCGUAGAUAUUAGGAGGAACACCAGUGGCGAAGGCGGUCUGCUGGACAGCAACUGACGCUGAGGCGCGAAAGCGUGGGGAGCAAACAGGAUUAGAUACCCGUGUAGUC
rnacentral:rRNA from 1 species